rnacentral:rRNA from 2 species
GGGAUACAAUAUGAGGCGGGCUGGACCUCUCGGGGUUACAGCCUUGCUGAAUUAUUCACCCUUGUCUUUUGCGUACUUCUUGUUUCCUUGGUGGGUUCGCCCACCACUAGGACAAACAUAAACCUUUUGUAAUUGCAAUCAGCGUCAGUAACAAAUUAAUAAUUACAACUUUCAACAACGGAUCUCUUGGUUCUGGCAUCGAUGAAGAACGCAGCGAAAUGCGAUAAGUAGUGUGAAUUGCAGAAUUCAGUGAAUCAUCGAAUCUUUGAACGCACAUUGCGCCCUUUGGUAUUCCAAAGGGCAUGCCUGUUCGAGCGUCAUUUGUACCCUCAAGCUUUGCUUGGUGUUGGGCGUCUUGUCUCUAGCUUUGCUGGAGACUCGCCUUAAAGUAAUUGGCAGCCGGCCUACUGGUUUCGGAGCGCAGCACAAGUCGCACUCUCUAUCAGCAAAGGUCUAGCAUCCAUUAAGCCUUUUUUUCAACUUUUGACCUCGGAUCAGGUAGGGAUACCCGCUGAACUUAAGCAUACA